AUUGAACGCUGGCGGCAGGCCUAACACAUGCAAGUCGAGCGGAGCGGCGGACGGGUGAGUAAUGCCUAGGAAUCUGCCUGGUAGUGGGGGAUAACGUCCGGCAACGGGCGCUAAUACCGCAUCCUAUCAGAUGAGCCUAGGUCGGAUUAGCUAGUUGGUGGGGUAAAGGCCUACCAAGGCGACGAUCCGUAACUGGUCUGAGAGGAAGAUCAGUCACACUGGAACUGAGAAACGGUCCAGACUCCUACGGGAGGCAGCAGGGGGGAAGAUUGGAAAAUGGGCGAAAGCCUGAUCCAGCAAUGCCGCGUGUGUGAAGAAGGUCUUCGGAUUGUAAAGCACUGUAAGUUGGGAGGCGGGACCAAAAGAAUAAGCACCGGCUAACUUCGUGCCAGCAGCCGCGGUAAUUG
rnacentral:rRNA from 1 species